rnacentral:lncRNA from 1 species
CACCUUUCUUCGUCACUUUGUCUAUCCUGCUGAUUAUUCUCUCAUGACUCACUUUGCUUCACUGCUUUCUUUAACUGUUUCUCUAUCAGUGUAACACUGUUUAUUCCUUUCUAGGAGAAAACACUUCAUUUCAAGGCAACUGUCUUCAUAAAAUCAGCGAGCAGGUUGGUGGUAAGCAAGGACACUGUGGCCAGAGAGGGGACUGGGGGAAGAAGCCUUAAUCAGCCACCAGAUGAGGUUAGGUGAGUGCGGGCGAGGCUGCAGGGAGGAAGUCCCGGCUGCGGUUAAUGAGAGCUGACACACCCGACAAACGGCCCACCUCCAAACCGAAUAAUGAAGUUUAAAUUUGUGUGAAAAUAGAGUCAGCGUUGGUAAAGAUCUCUG